rnacentral:miRNA from 1 species
UCUGCGCAUAUGUAUGUGUGCAUGUGCAUAUUUGUGUACAUGCUGCAGAAAGUUUUCAUUGGCCAU